ACUAGAAACUACAUAGGCGGUGGAGAAAAGGAAUUGGGGGAAAAGAAAGUUAGGGUUCAUAUCCAUUUAGUUCAAUCGAUUCGUUUGAGGGAGGUGGCCGGAGUGGGUGGAAGGGCGGCAGAUGCUACGAGGGUCAACAAUUGGGGGUCGUAGAUCGGGGUAGUAAAAUAAGGUUGCAGGGCGGUUAAUGGAGGCUGGAGAUUGUGUGUGUUUGAGGGUCGUGGCGACGUCGCCACUGUUAAUCUAAGAGAGGAUUGGGGGUCGCAGAUCAGGGUAGCAAGAUAGGGGUCAGAUUGUAUUACGUUUUCAUACAUAUAUUUAUAUGCGGAUGUUUCUGGGAGGUAUCAACUGGAUUACACCCAAAAUCGAGGUCACUAGAAUUGAAAGUGCAGGAGGAGAACAGAGAGUUUAAUCCAUUGUCACAUGGUGAGACAGGAGAAGAUUCGUUGACUCAUCUUCCUUUUCAGGUUCUAAGUUGGAAACCUCGUGUUAUCCUUCCCUAGUUUUUCAAUGCCAGAACUGUGUGAAAGCAAAUUAAUAUAGCAAAGGCAAGUCUUGUACCUUCAAGCUUGGCUUUACGCAAGGGAGAAAAAGCAGAAAAAUUUAAAGGAGUUCGCACAAGCUCCGUGACAUUUAUAAAGGCAUCUGAAGACAAAAGUGGAACCUUGGACAUCAUUGAAGAUAAAAUAUCAAGCGCCACAAUGAUUCCUCGCCCUCAUGGUGAGGUAUGCAGGUCCAACUUUAGCUACUUUUCUAGUCCGAGAUAUCAUGUUUGCUGAAACAAUUUAGUCAGUUAGUUAAUGUUCCUUUAGUUCUGUAAAUCAGUUUCCUGCUAAUGUACUAUCAUGUAAAUUUAAGGUGUCUGGUCAACCAUAGAAACCAGGUAGUCUUCUUCACCAUGUAAAUCAAUGGUACCUUGUCAAACUAGAGUUACCAGAUGUUGUUCUCAAUGAGGCAAAGUACUUGUUACUAUUGGUGUAUCCAGAAACUUCAAUAGUUCAAUUUAUCAUGCUAGGUAUUUUCGAUGGACAUCGUUAGAACAUAUAUAAUGCUCUGUAAUAAACACACUACAGUACCAAUAUUCUAAUUUAUAAAACUUAUAGAGCAUAUUAUCAUUAACUCUAAAAUUAAAUUGUGAUGUUUCGGCAUUGUUAUAUUCAUUUAUUUGCAUGUAUAUGGUUUAUUAUCAAGUUUAAUCUUAAACUACAUGCAAAUAUGUUAACUGCAUAUUUAAGCAACAUGCUUUAGUGCACAGAGUGCAGUUGUCAUGCUGCCAUCCGAAUGAAGAAUCCUGCCAGCAAUCUGCCAAGUCACCGAUGAACUCUAGAUUUCAUUACUGCACCACCAAGGCACAUACCUAAUGAUGGAGUUCACAACUAUAGAAACACAUAUUGACUCAUAUACAAGGCCAAGUUGAUUAAUUUUCGGUGACGUUGCAAUUAAAGAUAGAUUAAUUUAUGUUUUGUUUAUUGUAUAUCUUUAGGUUAUUUAGAUAUUUGGGAUUUGUCAUCCUCACCGGACAUAUUGGUGGAUAUUUGAUGAUAUAUUUGGUUGGCUGUAAUGGUGUUUAUUA